CCCCUAGAUGUUCUGGGCCGCACGCGCGCUACACUGAACAGUUCGACAAGUCUUAACCUUGGCCGAUAGGUCUGGGUAAUCUUUGAACGCUGUUCGUGAUUGGGAUAGACCUUUGCAAUUAUGGGUCUUCAACGAGGAAUUCCUAGUAAACGCAAGUCAUCAGCUUGCAUUGAUUACGUCCCUGCCCUUUGUACACACCGCCCGUCGCACCUAUCGAUUGAAUGGUCCGGUGAAAUCUCGGGACGGCGGCUUGGUCGCUUGCGUCCGACUGCUGAAACUUGAUUAAACCAUAUCAUUUAGAGGAAGGUGAAGUCGUAACA
rnacentral:rRNA from 1 species